GAUCCUCAUCCAUCGCCACUCGCACCUAUAAACUGCUGCACCGUCAGAAUCCCAGUUCAUUCGCCACUCCCUCUCCCCAAUCCCCAUCGAACCAAAGCUAAUCUAGUCUAGUUCCAUGGCUCACGGCAUCGCGCUUGUCAUCGUCGCCGCCUUCUCGGCCGCGUUCGGUGGCCUCGAGUCCCACGAGACCUUCGUCGCCUCUCGCAGCCAGGCCACAGUCGGUCACGGGGACGCCGCCGCCGCCGGUGCUUUCCUCCUGGCCACAGUGGCAACCUUUGCGCUCGCUUCGGCGCUCCUGCUGGCGCACGUCCGCGCGCUUCGUUCCCACCGCCGCGCCGGUGGAGCAGAGCGCGGUUUCGCCACGGGCCGCCUCUCUGCGGCGACGCUCGCCGCGGCCGCGGCGGUCCUUGGCGUCGGAACCGUGCUGCGCCUCGUUGCGUAGGCUGACGGCGGGUGGCUCCAGUCUCCAGAGUGGCAGAGUCCACAUGAAAUGCCUAUUUGGUGGAUUCCAUAGGAGAUGGAGAAUCUGGAGACCCGCCACAGUAUCAAGUAUACGUAACUCUGCUGCAUUUUUAGUAAGGUUAGUUGGAGUGGUCAGGUGUGCUGCUCUUCAGCUUCGUCCUGGGAGCAGCCGUCAGUUGCUUUGGUUGCAUAAUGGGCAGUUUUCAGGACUUCAGGUGCCUUUUUCAGUUUCGUCCAAGUAGCAGUCAAGUUUUUUGGCUGUGUUUCUUUAGGCCUUGUAAAUAUACAUGGAUUGGAUUUCAUUGGAUUAUUGUAGGAUCCGUACUGGCUCAGAUCCUGCACCAUUUUGAUGAAAUUCCAACAUUAUUUAUUGUGCUGUUUUCUGCCUGAAAGUCGUUAUGCUGUGAAGUGCAAUGGUUCCCGAA